GUGGGGAAUUUUGCGCAAUGGGCGAAAGCCUGACGCAGCGACGCCGCGUGAGGGAAGAAGGUUCUCGGAUCGUAAACCUCUGUCGGAGGGGAAGAAACCCCAGGGUGCUAAUACCAUCCUGGAUUGACGGUACCCUCUGAGGAAGCAUCGGCUAACUACGUGCCAGCAGCCGCGGUAAUACGUAGGAUGCAAGCGUUGUUCGGAAUUAUUGGGUGUAAAGGGCGCGUAGGCGGCUUGGCCAGUCACGGGUGAAAGCCCCCGGCUUAACCGGGGAAUUGCCCGUGAUACUACCAAGCUCGAGUACGGGAGAGGGAAGUGGAAUUCCUGGUGUAGCGGUGAAAUGCGUAGAUAUCAGGAGGAACACCGGUGGCGAAGGCGGCUUCCUGGACCGAUACUGACGCUGAGGCGCGAAAGCGUGGGUAGCAAACAGGAUUAGAAACCCUGGUAGUCC
rnacentral:rRNA from 1 species